AUCGCUUCUCGGCCUUUUGGCUAAGAUCAAGUGUAGUAUCUGUUCUUAUCAGUUUAAUAUCUGAUACGUCCUCUAUCCGAGGACAAUAUAUUAAAUGGAUUUUUGGAGCAGGGAGAUGGAAUAGGAGCUUGCUCCGUCCACUCCACGCAUCGACCUGGUAUUGCAGUACCUCCGGGGAUACAACGCGUUUGCU
ensembl:snRNA U2 U2 spliceosomal RNA